rnacentral:rRNA from 1 species
UACGUAGGGUGCAAGCGUUGUCCGGAAUUACUGGGCGUAAAGCGCACGUAGGCGGUUUGUUAAGUCAGGGGUGAAAUCCCGGAGCUCAACUCCGGAACUGCCUUUGAUACUGGCAAGCUAGAGUCCGGAAGAGGUAAGUGGAACUCCUAGUGUAGAGGUGGAAUUCGUAGAUAUUAGGAAGAACACCAGUGGCGAAGGCGGCUUACUGGUCCGGAACUGACGCUGAGGUGCGAAAGCGUGGGGAGCAAACAGG